CCUACGGGAGGCAGCAGUGGGGAAUUUUGGACAAUGGGCGCAAGCCUGAUCCAGCAAUGCCGCGUGAGUGAAGAAGGCCUUCGGGUUGUAAAGCUCUUUUGUCAGGGAAGAAAAGGGAUUGGCUAAUAUCUGGUCCUCAUGACGGUACCUGAAGAAUAAGCACCGGCUAACUACGUGCCAGCAGCCGCGGUAAUACGUAGGGUGCAAGCGUUAAUCGGAAUUACUGGGCGUAAAGCGUGCGCAGGCGGUUUUGUAAGACUGUCGUGAAAUCCCCGGGCUUAACCUGGGAAUGGCGAUGGUGACUGCAAGGCUAGAGUUUGGCAGAGGGGGGUAGAAUUCCACGUGUAGCAGUGAAAUGCGUAGAUAUGUGGAGGAACACCGAUGGCGAAGGCAGCCCCCUGGGUCAAAACUGACGCUCAUGCACGAAAGCGUGGGGAGCAAACAGGAUUAGAUACCCUGGUAGUCCACGCCCUAAACGAUGUCUACUAGUUGUCGGGUCUUAAUUGACUUGGUAACGCAGCUAACGCGUGAAGUAGACCGCCUGGGGAGUACGGUCGCAAGAUUAAAACUUAAAUGAAUUGACGG
rnacentral:rRNA from 1 species